CGGCAAGUUGAAGGUUGUGAGUUCGUGCAUCACCCGGGCACAUCAAAAAUUUUUAUUUCAAAUCCAAUUCGAUUCUAGUAUCUCUAAGCUGAAAAUUUAAAGAAUUCGUCGCGGAAUAUAGCGUUUCUCUAGAAAAAAGAAAAUCUUUU